GAUGAACGCUGGCGGCGUGCCUAAUACAUGCAAGUCGAGCGAACAGACGAGGAGCUUGCUCCUCUGACGUUAGCGGCGGACGGGUGAGUAACACGUGGAUAACCUACCUAUAAGACUGGGAUAACUUCGGGAGACCGGAGCUAAUACCGGAUAAUAUAUUGAACCGCAUGGUUCAAUAGUGAAAGACGGUUUUGCUGUCACUUAUAGAUGGAUCCGCGCCGCAUUAGCUAGUUGGUAAGGUAACGGCUUACCAAGGCAACGAUGCGUAGCCGACCUGAGAGGGUGAUCGGCCACACUGGAACUGAGACACGGGCCAGACUCCUACGGGAGGCAGCAGUAGGGAAUAUUCCGCAAUGGGCGAAAGCCUGACGGAGCAACGCCGCGUGAGUGAUGAAGGUCUUCGGAUCGUAAAACUCUGUUAUUAGGGAAGAACAAAUGUGUAAGUAACUAUGCACGUCUUGACGGUACCUAAUCAGAAAGCCACGGCUAACUACGUG
rnacentral:rRNA from 1 species